rnacentral:rRNA from 1 species
GGCUGCGAUCAUACUAGUACUAAGGCAUCGGAUCCCAUCAGAAUUCCACAAUUAAGCAUGUUGAGGAGAGAGUACUACAAGGAUGGAUGACCUCUUUGGAAGUUCUCGUGUUACAUCCC